rnacentral:rRNA from 1 species
GAACUUAGCAGAGAUGCUUUGGUGCCUUCGGGAACUCUGAGACAGGUGCUGCAUGGCUGUCGUCAGCUCGUGUUGUGAAAUGUUGGGUUAAGUCCCGCAGCGAGCGCAACCCUUAUCCUUUGUUGCCAGCGGUCCGGCCGGGAACUCAAAGGAGACUGCCAGUGAUAAACUGGAGGAAGGUGGGGAUGACGUCAAGUCAUCAUGGCCCUUACGAGUAGGGCUACACACGUGCUACAAUGGCGCAUACAAAGAGAAGCGACCUCGCGAGAGCAAGCGGACCUCAUAAAGUGCGUCGUAGUCCGGAUUGGAGUCCGCAACUCGACUCCAUGAAGUCGGAAUCGCUAGUAAUCGUGGAUCAGAAUGCCACGGUGAAUACGUUCCCGGGCCUUGUACACACCGCCCGUCACACCAUGGGAGUGGGUUGCAAAAGAAGUAGGUAGCUUAACCUUCGGGAGGGCGCUCACCACUUUGUGAUUCAUGACUGGGGUGAAGUCGUAACAAGGUAGGCGUAGUGCU